UAUAUAAAUAUUUUGGGUGAAUUUUGCAUACAAAGAUUUAAUCAAUAAUUUUUUGCCACAAUUUCGAUCUCAUAAUUUGAGCUCAUUGAAUAACAAUUCAUUAUUUAAGAAACAAGUAGGUCAAAAACUAAGGGUGGUGGAAAGACUUUUGGGGUAAUUUUUUUAGAUUUUUAUUCUUUUAUUUAUCGGUGACAAGUUCACCGGAGUUCCGCCGAAAUCCGACGAGUCCACCACCCAAAACCCAUUUUCCUCUUAGUCUUUUUCCGGGGAAACCAGCUUCCAACUCCACCUCUAUAGCAGCAAAUGACCAGAACACCUUCCCCUUUUCCAUUGUUUCUAGCAAUACCCUCGUCCCCCUUUUCAUCGUUGCUACCAGAUCAGCGAACCAGAACCGAAAUCAACUGUUCCGAUGAAAAACCAAGUCUUCACGAGUCCUACAAAAAAACCUAUAAUCGAGUUCCACAACUAGAAACCCGCUGGAAACCACCACCUCACGCCAGACACACAACAACCAGACCAAACCCCUCUUCAUUUUUCUCCCUUUUCCGGUGAAAUAGUCACUGAAUAUAACACCAAAAUCGCUGUCAGACCCAUUCCUCUUCCCCUUUCACGAUUCCUCUUCUAUUUUUGCAGGUCAUGACUGAAACCCAUGAGCUCGGAACCAUGAAACAACCAGCGCCAACAAUGGCAGAAAUCAAUCAGAUCUCACAACCAGUAGCUCCAAAGUCGGAGCAAACACGAAUAACAAUCCAAACCAGCACCCUAAAGUUCAAAAUUCCAGCGAAUUUCAAUGUUUUCAUCCAAUAUAUGGUAUGCCGAAUUGCUUUCCAUCGAAGCUAUUCGAAUAAAAUUCGAAUUCUAAUUUUAUUUAUUAAUGUGUAUAUUAUUGGCGAUAGGCAAACUUAUGCCAUCUCUUAUUAUUGUUUUAUUUAUUAUUUGUGUAUAUAACAUGCCUAUUCUAUUUGUA